CAACAACCUUCAUCAACAUGACCUUCAUCAUCAUCUUCAUCUGGACACUUUCAUACUGCUUUAUACUACAAGGGUGUAAAGCUCAGAUCACAGUCACUCAGACUCCAGUGAAAACUGCCAGACCAGGAGAAAAUGUUGAGAUGAGCUGUAAACUCAGUACUGCUCCAGCUUGCACCCCACCAUGUGUGGCCUGGUACUUACAGAAACCUGGAGAAGCUCCUAAACUCCUGAUUCGUCGUGUAAACACUCGCCAGUCAGGAACUCCAUCUAGAUUCAGUGGCAGUGGAUCUAACAGUGAUUUCACUCUGACCAUCAGUGGAGUCCAGACUGAAGAUGCUGGACAUUAUUACUGUCAGAGUUACCACAGUGGUGAUGUGUUCACACAGUGAUAAAGAGUCGUACAAAAACCUCCGUCAGUCAGAGUCACAGUGACUGAACUGAUUCUGCAGCUGCUCAAACACUAUCACUCACUACUGACACACAGAGACCAAACACAGGAACUACA